CUCUGACAGCGGUUCCUCAGAUGCCAGCAGUGGGAUGUUGCCAGGGAACGCCAGCUCAGCGGACGGUGGCCGCAGCAGUCGGUCUGCUGAAUGGUGGGAAGACGAUGACGUGAAUCCAACUGAGGGAUAUUCGGGUGGGACUGAUGGGCGCUUCGUUUUACCAAUUGAGAAGACUGAGCGUUCUGCCAAAGAGAAUGAGAUCUGGUUCGUCGUCACUGGCGGGCUCAACUGUCCCAUCCCGUGAGGCCGACGAAGACGCGUUGAUUCCCCGCCCUGUUUCAUGUUAAACAUCGCUCUCUACACGCUGUCCGGUAUUAACGCUCUCCCGUCACCAGCCCUCAGUAAUCACGGCAACCUGGCAUCGGCUCUCCGUGUCCAACCAGUGAAUCUCAUCGUGACCGCACUGCCGCAACGCGACUCUGGGAUCUCCGCUAUCCGUGGUCCAACGGCACUGUCGACAGAAGCGAUCUCGAGAUGACACGUCCCAUGACGGCCUGGGGCUCCAGGACACGGUGCAGGGAGAAAGGU